rnacentral:piRNA from 1 species
UGGACAAGAUCCAGUUUAGCAUGGUUUGUGCC